GACGAAACGCUGGCGGCGUGCCUAACACAUGCAAGUCGAACGGGGUUGAGUGCUUCGGUAUUCAACUUAGUGGCGAACGGGUGAGUAACGCGUGAAGAACCUGCCUUUCAGUGGGGGACGAACAGUUGGAAACGACUGCUAAUACCGCAUGACACUUUUUGGGGGUCGAUCCCCGACGAAGUCAAAGCUUUAUGUGCUGAAAGAUGGCUUCGCGUCUGAUUAGCUAGAUGGCGGGGUAACGGCCCACCAUGGCGACGAUCAGUAGCCGGUCUGAGAGGAUGAACGGCCACAUUGGGACUGAGAUACGGCCC
rnacentral:rRNA from 1 species